UCGAGAAUAUUCGACAAUGGGCGAAAGCCUGAUCGAGCGACGCCGCGUGCAGGAUGAAGGCCCUCGGGUUGUAAACUGCGGUAGUAGGGGAGGAACGCAAGUGACUGUACCCUACGGAAAGUGGUUGGUAACUACGUGCCAGCACCAGCGGUAAUACGUAGACCACAAGCGUUAUCCGGAUUUAUUGGGCGUAAAGAGCAUGUAGGAGGUCCGGUGCGUCUCUGGUUAAAGCCCACCGCCUAACGGUGGAAGUGCCAGAGAUACGAUCGGACUGGAGGAUGUGAGAGGUGCAUGGAACUCACGGUGUAGGGGUGAAAUCCGUUGAUAUCGUGGGGAACACCAAAGGCGAAGGCAGCCCCCUGGGCUAACACUGACGCUCAUGCACGAAAGCGUGGGGAGCAAACAGGAUUAGAUACCCAAGUAGUCCCUGAGCGGGCUGGCAAGGCGCAU
rnacentral:rRNA from 1 species